rnacentral:rRNA from 1 species
ACGCUCGACACCUACGUGAGGCAGCAGUGGGGGAUAUUGCACAAUGGAGGAAACUCUGAUGCAGCGACGCCGCGUGAGGGAAGAAGGUUUUCGGAUUGUAAACCUCUGUCUUCGGUGACGAAAAUGACGGUAGCCGAGGAGGAAGCCACGGCUAACUACGUGCCAGCAGCCACGGUAAUCUGAGCGGCUGGCAAGGC